rnacentral:rRNA from 1 species
UCCAGACUCCUACGGGAGGCAGCAGUGGGGAAUAUUGGGCAAUGGGCGCAAGCCUGACCCAGCGACGCCGCGUGAGGGAAGACGGUCUUCGGAUUGUAAACCUCUUUCAGCAGGGAAGACAAAAGGACGGUACCUGCAGAAGAAGCCACGGCUAACUACGUGCCAGCAGCCGCGGUAAUACGUAGGUGGCAAGCGUUAUCCGGAAUUACUGGGUGUAAAGGGAGCGUAGGCGGGACUGCAAGUUGGGUGUCAAAUCUACCGGCUCAACCGGUAGCCGCACUCAAAACUGCAGUUCUUGAGUGAAGUAGAGGCAGGCGGAAUUCCUAGUGUAGCGGUGAAAUGCGUAGAUAUUAGGAGGAACACCAGUGGCGAAGGCGGCCUGCUGGGCUUUUACUGACGCUGAGGCUCGAAAGUGUGGGGAGCAAACAGGAUUAGAUACCCCAGUA